UACGUAGGUGGCAAGCGUUGUCCGGAUUUACUGGGCGUAAAGGGCGUGCAGGCGGUUUGUUAAGUCUAGGGUGAAAGCUCCCGGCUCAACUGGGAGAGGUCCUUGGAUACUGACAGACUUGAGGGAGGCAGAGGAGAAUGGAAUUCCCGGUGUAGUGGUGAUAUGCGUAGAUAUCGGGAGGAACACCAGUGGCGAAGGCGGUCAACUGGACGAGUACUGACGCUGAGACACGAAAGCGUGGGGAGCAAACAGG
rnacentral:rRNA from 1 species